rnacentral:rRNA from 1 species
AUACGGAGGAUGCGAGCGUUAUCCGGAUUUAUUGGGUUUAAAGGGAGCGUAGGCGGGAGCUUAAGUCAGCGGUUAAAUGGUGCGGCUCAACCGUGCCCUGCCGUUGAAACUGGGUUUCUUGAGAGUGCAAGAGGCGGAUGGAAUUCAUGGGGUAGCGGGGAAAUGCUUAGAUAUCAUGAAGAACUCCGAUUGCGAAGGCAGUCCGCUGGGGCACGUCUGACGCUGAUGCUCGAAGGUGCGGGAAUCAAACAGGAUUAGAUACCCUGGUAGUCCGCACGGUAAACGAUGAUUACCCGCUGUCGGCGGUAGACAGUCGGCGGCCAAGCGAAAGCGAUAAGUAAUCCACCUGGGGAGUACGCCGGCAACGGUGAAACUUAAAGGAAUUGACGGGG